AGUUCUCGCAAGAGUCUGGGGCACAAAAGUUCUUCGGCCCAGUCCUGGAGUUUCCAAAGAUUCGUCCAGCUCACUGGAGACCAUCCAGGAGUUCAUCCGACUGAGACCCGAGGUGGACAUCAUCUGUCAUAUUCAGGCCACGUCUCCAUGCCUCCACCCUCAUCACAUCAGAGAAGCCCUGCAGAUGAUCACCGAACAGGGUUGUGACUGUGUUUUCGGUGGUUUGCAGACACCAGUUUCGCUGGGAGGAGGUGGAUAAGAAAGGUAUCAAAAACAACUCAUAAGAAAACAGCUGCAAAAUUUUGCUUUGCAUGAAACGUUUAUUGUGUUACUUUUCCAACGAUUACAUUUGACAUUUAUGACAAAAUCCUUAAUGAUCAUUUUAAUUAGAGGGUAAGAAUCCAACAUCUCUGAAAAUUGACGUGGCGCACAGGCCUCGACGACAAGAUUUGCCUGGAGAAUUCUACGAGAAUGGCUCUUUCUAUUUUAGUACAAGAAAGGCUUUGGAAACUGGCCUUAAACAGUUGGGCAAGAUCGCCUACUAUGAAAUGCUGCCUGAGUAUGUCACGCCCAGACUGGGGGUGUGGAGGCACUCCCUGUCAGCCGACACCCCCACUUCCACCCUUCUUGAGGAGCUACCCCGUACCAAAGAAAAAGGCAGACCACCAGAAUUCAAAGUUAACACAUUUAUUAAUUUAUUUAAAAGAAAUGUCUCUGAAAGCGGUACGAGCUUCCUCCCUCAAGGUUGAGUGACUGUGUGUGUAGCUCUAAUUCCCCUCCUCCACUACCAACACAGUAUGGUGAAUACAGCCCGAGCGGCUACGGCGCCAGAUGGCAAAGGCUUGGUGGUGUAAGGAGUGAAAUUAUUUCCUUAUGAAAUGAAUUCUUUGUGAAGCCAGAUUUUCAGGAACUCUCGCAAUGCAAAUGCAGAUGCACCAAAACAAUGGGCUUUGAUCUCCUCGUGGACCAAACAAACAGAUAGGAAGAUCUGGAAGAAAGACCAUUUGCUCUUUGGUACCUUCACCCCUCCUUCCCCCCAGGGCACAUGGUCCAGGCAUCUAAAAGUUGUUACGCUCACAUAAAACAUUUACUAUAUCUUCAGGAUUCAUGCUUGUAAACUUUUCAUGUUUGGUAUCAUUUUAAAGGUCUCUGUGCGAUUUGUAAAAUGGUCUCAAUUUCAAAGUAGUCACUUGUAUUAUGAGAAAGAUUGAAAACUUUUAUGAGAAAGAUUGAGGGUGUGUGUCCCCCUUUAGGGGUCUUUGAGAAUGUUUAUCUCCAGCCAGGUGUGACCCUGAUGUGACCACGGGAACCUAAACAAACCAAAAGGUCUUUUAUGGUUUUACAGCUGAUUUGAAGAUUAUUUGUUGUCUGGUCUGAGUAUUUAAGGGAAGUGACAAAACACUACUGGGCGAUUCUGUUGCCAGAAAGCCCGUAGUGUGGAGUGUAUUUCAUAUGCUCCAUACUAUGCAUCUUCCUGAAGUCACGUAUACUAUUAUGUAAUUGUGUUAAACACAUUGUGCUUACAGAGCACACUGUAUAGUUGUUUGUGCUACUACAUGUACACAUUGGCUAGUUAAGUUUAUUCUCUAAAACACCUGAGUGCUUUGCUAUGCAUUUUAGACCAUGUGUCUUAAAUUAGGAUAACUGUUACAUGUGUGACUAUGUUAAAUUUGUGUGCCUCCUGCAUGGAUCACUUGGCCGUUCCCAAUAUGGCUACAGUGUCUUUGUGCAGGAGCAAAGUUGCAACACAACUACAAUGUGAUUUACAAUUACACUAUCCUUUCUAAAUUGGCUUCUAAUUAUUUUCAUUAUGUAAUUGGCAUGAUACAAUUUUACCUGACUGAUAAUAAAUUGUUAUAUUUGAUUUAUUCUGCAUUAUUCUUAAUUCAUUAUUACUAGUAGAUUAAAGCGAAGGUAUUACCUCAAAUCUGUGUUCAGGAUUGUUCAUACGAAAGGUUUAAUAGAUGGAGCAUGGGGCACAUCAAUUGAGUCCAUUUCGAUUUCUGAUUAUCACUGUCUUAAAUAAGUUGCAGUUUUCGUAAAUAUAUAAAAACUAUACUUUUUGUAUGAGUAAGCAGGGCGCGACCGACUUAAAGGUAGAUAUUUACCCUGCAUCCAAUGUUUAAGAUCAGACUGACGAGUUUGUGUUCGGGAAGAGCAUUCAAUCGGCCGAAAUGUUACUUCUAAAGCGAUACCGGGUCUGCAAUGAACGAAUAAUUGAAAGUAUGGGAUUUUCAGAAUACUCAAAUAUCUAAAUUAAUAAACAAUCGAUAUCUGUGAUCAGCUUUUGAUAGAAAUAUUGCCUUAAUUUAAUGAUCACGUGAAAUUGGAGUCAGAUUAAACAUGGAGCUAGACUAAAAUUCAAACGAAAUCCUGAUAAAUUCAGAAGCGCAAGUAAAAGACCGAAUACGCAUUAAACCUUCGACCAGGCCGCUGGAUUCCGCUUUUUGGGCCGGCGGGUGGAUCCUUACAGUGGUAACUCUGUUCUUCANUCAGUAACUCUGCAGGCUUUUCACUAAGCUCAGGCAGAGAGAGAGGAGGUGCAUAUAUGUCACAGCUUUAACAGGCUCUUCACUGGGCUCAGACAGAGAGAAGAGAGGUAAUUAUACUUCACUGCUUCAGCAGGUUCUUCACUGGACUCAGACAGAGGAUAGAGAGAGGCAAGUACACUUCACUGCUUUAAUGGGCUCUUCACUGGAUUCAGACAGAGAAUGGAGAGUACGUAUACUUCACGGUUUCAACAAGCUCUUCACUGGACUCAGGAAGAGAGAAUGGAAGUAAUUAUACUUCAUUGCUUCAGCAGGUUCUUUACUGGACUCAGACAGAGAAUAAAGAGAGGUAUGUACACUUCACAGCUUUAACAGGCUCUUCACUGGAUUCAGACAGAAAGUGAGAUGCAUAUAAUUC
rnacentral:lncRNA from 12 species